GAUGAACGCUAGCGAUAGGCCUAACACAUGCAAGUCGAGGGGCAGCAUAGAGUAGCAAUACUUUGAUGGCGACCGGCGCACGGGUGAGUAACACGUAUGCAACCUACCUACAUCAGGGGAAUAACCCGGAGAAAUUCGGACUAAUACCGCAUAAUACAGGGAUGCCGCAUGGCAAUAUUUGUUAAAGAUUUAUCGGAUGUAGAUGGGCAUGCGUUCCAUUAGCUAGUUGGUAAGGUAACGGCUUACCAAGGCAACGAUGGAUAGGGGAACUGAGAGGUUUGUCCCCCACACUGGAACUGAGACACGGACCAGACUCCUACGGGAGGCAGCAGUGAGGAAUAUUGGUCAAUGGACGAGAGUCUGAACCAGCCAAAUCGCGUGAAGGAAGACUGCCCUACGGGUUGUAAACUUCUUUUGUACAGGAAUAAAAGACAUUACGUGUAAUGUAUUGCAUGUACUGUACGAAUAAGCAUCGGCUAACUCCGUGCCAGCAGCCGCGGUAAUACGGAGGAUGCGAGCGUUAUCCGGAUUUAUUGGGUUUAAAGGGUGCGCAGGCGGGAUUUUAAGUCAGCGGUGAAAUUUUCAGGCUCAACCUGAACACUGCCGUUGAAACUGGGAUUCUUGAGUAUGGAUGAAGUAGGCGGAAUUCGUUGUGUAGCGGUGACAUGCUUAGAUAUAACGAGGAACUCCGAUUGCGUAGGCAGCUUACUAAGCCAUAACUGACGCUCAAGCACGAAAGCGUGGGGAUCAAACAGGAUUAGAUACCCCUGGUAGUCCACGCCGUAAACGAUGANUACUANUUGGUUGCGAUAUACCGUAAGUGACUAAAAGGAUUUUUGAGUAUGNAUAAAGUAGGCGGAAUUCGUUGGGNANCGGUNACAUGCUUAGAUAAAACGAGGAACCCCGAUUGCGUAGGCAGCUUAUUAAGCCAUAACUGACGNUCAAGCACGAAAGCGUGGGGAUCAAANCAGGAUUAGAUACCNUGGUAGUCCCCCGCCGUAAACGAUGAUUACUAGUUGUUUGCGAUAUACCGUAAGUGANUAAGCGAAAGCGAUAAGUAAUCCACCUGGGGAGUACGCCGGCAACGGUGAAACUCAAAGGAAUUGACGGGGGCCCGCACAAGCGGAGGAACAUGUGGUUUAAUUCGAUGAUACGCGAGGAACCUUACCCGGGCUUGAAAUGUACCUGACCGUCCUUGAAAAGGGACUUCUAGCAAUAGCAGGUAUGUAGGUGCUGCAUGGUUGUCGUCAGCUCGUGCCGUGAGGUGUCGGCUUAAGUGCCAUAACGAGCGCAACCCACAUUAUUAGUUACUAACAGGUUAAGCUGAGGACUCUAAUAAGACUGCCGUCGUAAGAUGCGAGGAAGGUGUGGAUGACGUCAAAUCAGCACGGCCCUUACGUCCGGGGCGACACACGUGUUACAAUGGGAGGUACAAAGGGCUACUACCUGGUGACAGGAUGCUAAUCCCCAAAGCCUCUCCCAGUUCGGAUCGGAGUCUGCAACUCGACUCCGUGAAGCUGGAUUCGCUAGUAAUCGCGCAUCAGCCAUGGCGCGGUGAAUACGUUCCCGGGCCUUGUACACACCGCCCGUCAAGCCAUGGGAGCCGGGGGUAUCUGAAGUGCGUAACCGCAAGGAGCGUCCUAGGGUAAAACUGGUGACUGGGGCU
rnacentral:rRNA from 1 species